AUUGAACGCUGGCGGCAUGCCUUACACAUGCAAGUCGAACGGCAGCACGGGUGCUUGCACCUGGUGGCGAGUGGCGAACGGGUGAGUAAUACAUCGGAACAUGUCCUGUAGUGGGGGAUAGCCCGGCGAAAGCCGGAUUAAUACCGCAUACGAUCUACGGAUGAAAGCGGGGGACCUUCGGGCCUCGCGCUAUAGGGUUGGCCGAUGGCUGAUUAGCUAGUUGGUGGGGUAAAGGCCUACCAAGGCGACGAUCAGUAGCUGGUCUGAGAGGACGACCAGCCACACUGUGACUGAGACACGCCCCAGAGUCCUACGGGAGGCACCAGUGUGGAAUAUUGGACAAUGGGCGAAAGCCUGAUCCAGCGAUGCGGCGUGUGUGAAGAAGGCCUUCGGGUUGUAAAGCACUUUUGUCCGGAAAGAAAUCCUUGGCCCUAAUACGGUCGGGGGAUGACGGUACCGGAAGAAUAAGCACCGGCUAACUACGUG
rnacentral:rRNA from 1 species